GACCUGCUGGCCGAACGGCUGAAGGUGCUGCUCUGACGCGGCGGCGCCGGGGAAUCCCCGGCGCCGCUCGGUUCUGUGACGGUUCG
rnacentral:tRNA from 1 species